rnacentral:rRNA from 1 species
GGAUUAGAUACCCUGGUAGUCCACGCCCUAAACGAUGUCGACUAGCUGUUGGGUCCAAUUUGGGAUUUGGUAGCGAAGCUAACGCGUUAAGUCGACCGCCUGGGGAGUACGGCCGCAAGGUUGAAACUCAAAGGAAUUGACGGGGGCCCGCACAAGCGGUGGAGCAUGUGGUUUAAUUCGAUGCAACGCGAAGAACCUUACCAGCCCUUGACAUCCUCGGAACUUUGCAGAGAUGCAUUGGUGCCUUCGGGAGCCGAGAGACAGGUGCUGCAUGGCUGUCGUCAGCUCGUGCCG